AAAAAGAAUAGAUUUGCCGUAGACAGUAGGUGCUUUAAGCUUAAUAUCCUACCGAGGUUUUAGAUAAAUUUUGAUGCUAAAGCUUUUGUAUGUCUAUAUGAUUACAAAAGCUUUU
rnacentral:sRNA from 1 species